CCACAACUGCAACCGCACGUUUUAAGUUUGAAGUGUCUUCUGGUUAUCAGGAGACCACUAAAUUACGGCGAGUCUAAGUCAAUUA
rfam:Lactobacillus saerimneri 30a contig00023, whole genome shotgun sequence.